CCUACGGGAGGCUGCAGUGAGGAAUAUUGGUCAAUGGACGAGAGUCUGAACCAGCCAAGCAGCGUGAAGGAUGACUGUCCUAUGGGUUGUAAACUUCUUUUAUAAAGGAAUAAAACGAGGCACGUGUGCCUUUUUGCAUGUACUUUAUGAAUAAGGAUCGGCUAACUCCGUGCCAGCAGCCGCGGUAAUACGGAGGAUCCGAGCGUUAUCCGGAUUUAUUGGGUUUAAAGGGUGCGUAGACGGGCUGUUAAGUCAGUUGUGAAAGGUUGCGGCUCAACCGUAGAAUUGCAGUUGAAACUGGCAGUCUUGAGUACGGGUGAGGUAGGCGGAAUGCGUGGUGUAGCGGUGAAAUGCAUAGAUAUCGCGCAGAACUCCGAUUGCGAAGGCAGCUUACUAAGGCAUAAUUGACGCUGAGGCACGAAAGCGUGGGUAUCGAACAGGAUUAGAUACCCGGGUAGUC
rnacentral:rRNA from 1 species